ACAGCAGAGCAAACUCGGUCUCUCCUACUGCCUUGCCUGUUUUUAAGUCUCAGGCUGCAACUCAAUCGUUAGGCAGGCGCUUGAUAGUCUCUUCCCACGGUUUCCAUAGGAUAAACGCUCCAACAGUUGAAAGAGAGAAUCCCAACGUGUUGCAACAUUAAAAAAAAAAAAUGUGCAGGAUGUUCCCAGACAUUACUCUGGAUGCGCAGAAACAGUAAAGAAGACAGUUCAGAAACAUUAUGAGGCAACACAAGCAUGAUUCUGCUGCGAGGAGGCUUGCUCCGGAGUCAGCCCAACACAGGCAACACGCGCUCGAACCGACUGUGUCAGGUACUGAAUGAAACAGCAGCAGUUAGACGCCAGCCACCCAGGUCUCUCUGUCUAAACCAGAGCGGAGAAUCGGCCUGCUGGAUGCAACAGCUUGCGGUGCCUUGUGGCAGGGCUAAUCCAAACGCGGCAACUUAAGAAAUGUGGUGAAGUCUCAGCGAACGUGUUCUUAUUUGUGGCAAGACCCGAAGAGAACACCACAAUUGCUCUGAAUAUCUAAAGACAAAACCCAAACCAACUGCUAGGCAUCUGAUUUACACAGUUUCGUAAAAGCAAAUAUAUACACGUAUUUAUGAAACGGCUAUCCCCCUUCUGAAAAGUCACAAUGGAGAUGCUGAAUGCCCACCACUUCUGAAAAGAGAAAGCAAUAGCUAAAGCAGGCUGUAUCAAUGUACUAUUUUUUUUAAAAGUCUUCACAGCAAUUGCACAUAAACUAUUGUACAGGAGAGAUGACCAGUCCUUCCACAGGAGUGCAAAACUUUAAAAUAUUCAAGCAUUCUUCAAGGACAAAAUACUCAUUCCUAAGGAAAACUAGGGUUUUGUUUUGGGGUCCCCUCCCUUCACAUUUAGUGAGUAGUGAGAGAUUUUAUGCUGCUGAAUUGUGAAAACAGAGCUGGCAGGGGUUUUUAACUAUAGUAACCAAAAGUAUAAUGUAAAUUCUUUCUUCAGAGAAAAAUACCAUGACAAAAAGCAUUCAACAAAGGAAAAGCUUGCUCAGUUGCUCAAAAGGUUACAACAGCUUUUGCAUCCCUUACACAAAGGCACUUAUCAACACAUUUUAGGAAUGGAGCAUACCAUCAUUACUAUUCAAAACAUAUAUUGCAACAGUGCUUUGGAGCCAUACUAGAGCUCAGAUCUCAUUCAUAUCUUGCCAGGGACAAAAGAAAGAAUACAAGCAUAUGAAGUUUAAGAACUAUACAUGACUUCAAGGCCAAGCCGAAGUUCUGACCCUAUACAUUAAUGAGGUGCUCACAGAAAGGUAACAAGUCGGAAGGAAAACUUCAUUCACCGAACUUUGCGAACACCCACUUUUCCACCUUAUUUUUCCUCAAUCUGCCACAAUACUUUCCCUAGCUGUUCAGCCUAUAAAUAAUCCAUUGCUAUGCCUCCACUUCUUCAAUCUCCUCAGAUGCCCUUUCCAAAGUGGAGAAAGAUGAAGCGUUCUAGCUGCCUUUUAAGAAAGCUGUUCCGUGAACAGCAAAGCUGAAAGCUCAUUUCCUCUGAAUCUCCAUCAGACAUCACCGAACCUCUACUUUACUGCAUUAAUCCCAGCUUCCUGCGCAUCCAGUUCUCCUUUGAUGCCAAGGCUCUACCAGUAUAUUGAGCCCUAUGUUUUUCACCUCUUUCGGUA